GCCAAAGUCCAGAAACCCAGCAAUGGUUCUCCACAGUUUCCCAGACUCUAGGAGCAAUGAAGGAACCAGUCAGGGAGCCCUUAGCUCUGGGCCCACCUCUGUUAAGAAUAGCUUUCAAAUCAGAGCCUGAGUAAACUUAUAACCACAAAGAUUUAUUUUAAGCACCAAGGAGAUUAAAUCAGAGACCUCAGCCCCGGGGUAGAUGAAAAAGGCUCAACAAAACAUUCAUUAACACGGAGCCAAAAAAAAAAAAAAAAAGUGGUCCUGAGGUAUGUGCUUGAUGGCAUCACAUAAAGGGCUGGAAUGUGGAGCAUUGUUUAUUCAAGUUCAAGAACAAAAGCCUGGAAACCCUCAGAACCAGAUUGGCCAGCCAGGGACUGUAAGAAUCACCACUGUCCUCUCAGAAAGAGGCCAACAGAAAAUGACCAAUGUGAAACUCUCACCAGCCAACCUUCCAGAACUGGUCUGAAGCAGAUGUCCAUCUCCAUGGCAGGGCACACGCAAAAGAAAAAAAGAAAGCAGGUCCAGCUGACUCAGGCCUGUGAGCAAAAAAAGAAAGAAAAAGGAGUCUUCUGGGAAUGGUGGAGCAGUACGGGAGCCAAACCCCAAGAACAGCCCAGGAGAGCAUCAAAGACUCACAGUGGAUAGUGGGUGAAGAGUCACAUGACACAGUUUUGAACAAACGGUGACUGAGAUUAAAUGGAACUGUGCCUUCAUUCGGUCAUUCAGCCUGCCAACUUACAUCAAGAGUUCUGAAUCUUAAGAAAGCAGGAAAAAUCAGCUUUCUAUUGCCAAUGUCACCACAGAUUACCUGGAACUUCUAUUAUUACGCCAAACAUUUACCUCUUCAACUCAGCGAAGAAGAAAUGUAUUUUUUGUCUUUCAGAAAGUUUAAAAUUGUAAUCUGCUACAAAGCUAGCACUCUGAAGAUUGAAAAAUGAAGUGCUACAUUUCCUUUCCUUCA